GAAGAGCACUCCUACGGGAGGCAGCAGUGGGGAAUAUUGCACAAUGGGCGCAAGCCUGAUGCAGCCAUGCCGCGUGUAUGAAGAAGGCCUUCGGGUUGUAAAGUACUUUCAGCAGUGAGGAAGGUGGGUAUGUUAAUAGCAUACUCAUUUGACGUUAGCUGCAGAAGAAGCACCGGCUAACUCCGUGCCAGCAGCCGCGGUAAUACGGAGGGUGCGAGCGUUAAUCGGAAUUACUGGGCGUAAAGCGCAUGCAGGUGGUUUGUUAAGUCAGAUGUGAAAGCCCGGGGCUCAACCUCGGAAUUGCAUUUAGAAACUGGACAAACUAGAGUACUGUAGAGGGGGUAGAAUUUCAGGUGUAGCGGUGAAAUGCGUAGAGAUCUGAAGGAAUACCGGUGGCGAAGGCGGCCCCCUGGACAGAUACUGACACUCAGAUGCGAAAGCGUGGGGAGCAAACAGGAUUAGAUACCCUGGUAG
rnacentral:rRNA from 1 species